ACGGAAGGCAGCAGUGGGGAAUAUUGGGCAAUGGGGGAAACCCUGACCCAGCAAUGCCGCGUGAAGGAUGAAGGUCUUCGGAUUGUAAACUUCUUUGAUUGGGGAAGAAUAAAUGACCUACCCAAAGAACAAGUCACGGCUAACUACGUGCCAGCAGCCGCGGUAAUACGUAGGUGACAAGCGUUAUCCGGAUUUACUGGGCGUAAAGGGCGUGUAGGCGGUUUGGCAAGUCAGAAGUGAAAUUCCUGAGCUCAACUCGGGCGCUGCUUCUGAAACUGCUAGACUUGAGUGCUGGAGGGGAUAGCGGAAUUCCUAAUGGAGCGGUAAAAUGCGCAGAUAUUAGGAAGAACACCGGUGGCGAAGGCGGCUAUCUGGACAGUAACUGACGCUGAGGCGCGAAAGCGUGGGGAGCAAACAGGAUUAGAUACCCUGGUA
rnacentral:rRNA from 1 species